AUUACCUCAUGUCUGUGGGUUGCUGUAUGAGUAUGGUUGAGAAGUAUUUUGUUGCUCUGUAUGCUAGUUACUGGGCUGUCUGUCCCAGAGUGUGUGGACCUUUACAAACAUUGUCACUUCAAGAAUGAGUAAAAGGGAGAUUUCUGAGAUACCAGCAGCUCAAGUGACUCCACAGGAACUGUGGCAUUUAUCACAGACAAAAUUAGGUUGGAAGAAAGCAUAAAGGUACCAAACUAAAAAGGGAUCUAUAUUCAUCCUUAGAAGAAAAACGUUCUCACUUUGCAAACUGGGGGUUAAUUCUGCUCUUUCACAUAAGGGAGAGAAGAGGCAAAGAGGAAGGAGUGACUAACACAAAUAGCACAGUGGUAAUUUGUAAGACAGCUUCACCCAGUCCCCAAAGAAGGUAAAAACUGGACCAUUGGUUGCAGCAGUUGGUGACGCCCCUCAAUCCUGGCUGAAAGAUGAGAUUUCUAUGAAGAGAAAAGGUUCUGGACCUGAGAGGGAGGCAAUCAGGGUUUACAAAACAAUUUACCGCCCAGAAAAGUUACACCUGAACGUGCUUCCUCUGUGUCAGAAGACGGAUCUAACAACGCAGUCUGGGCUCUGUGCCAAGGGCUGGUAUUUCACAGCAGCGACCGCCUUACAGAUGAGCUGUGGGAAGCAGGAGGGAGACUCUCUUAGGGUGCCACUACUAUGGAGACACAGCUGGGCUGAACAAGAUUUGCUUCAAACGACAACAAGAGAGACAGAAAGUGUCUGGUUCGACCGCUGCCCAAGCAGGCAGUAACCAGAAGAGCUAGCAGCCAAUCCGGCCAUGCUGCACUGUUCGAAACCAGCUCCGCAUCUCAGCCAAUCAGUGACAUCAUUGGAGAGAGCAGGAGCAUCUACCCCAAGUCCCAGAGACUGGAGCCUUUUGGAGUGAGAUGCAUGUCUGGGCCAGCCAUGAUACCCACAGCAGUGCUACUAUCAAAGGCGGUUCUCAGCAUUCAAAGGCAAAUGGGGAUGAGAUCUUUGCUGACUCCCCAGAGCCACACCCAGUGUUGUACUGAAGUCCCCAGGUCUUCAGGGAUUUUACAUUCUGUAGCUGGCAAAACAAGUCCCCAUUUAAAUACUAAGCUUACUACCCUAAUGACUGUGAAGUACUUGUUCCCUGGAACUGCACCUGUUCAGCAUGACACCCUGCUUUGCUGGCGAUGUCACAUGCAGCACAGACUAUAAUUGGAGAAUGAAACCUGUCUAUGGGGGCAAGGUGGAUGGCUGCUGUUAUAACUUUUGGAAAAAGAUCCUUUUUGUUUCACAAAUUAGGGCUGAUGUAUCCUGCUCUCACUGUGGUGUAGAAAGCAGUCUAUUACAGUGCUGGAUUAAUCAAAGAGGCCUUUAUGGUUCGUGAAAGAAUAUCUAUGUGCUUAGACAGGAAACUUUUUGAUCCACUGAAAAGCCAGACGACAUCUAGACACAUCCCUUAUUAUGCUGUUCUCCUAUUAGCAAUGCUAGUGAGUGUGGCAGCUGAGGAAAUGUGAACACUUGGGGCCUGAUCUAAAGCUCAUUCUAAUCAUUGGAAAGAAUCCCAUUGACUUCACUGGACUUCAAAUCAUACCCAUGGACCAGACAGGACAAUUUUAGACUCACACUUAUUGUGAUAUCCUCAGUGCUUGUCAUCAUAUAUUCUUCAGAGGUCUGCCUAUUAUGAUAAAUUGUACAGUGCAAGGAAAAAUUACAACGGAAAUGAAAAAUGAAGAAGUUGGUUAUACCAGAAAUCAGUGAAGCUGAACCGCUUCCUGAAGAGCACUGAAUUUUCUAUACCAGAUUCUACUUCAGUGGCCAGGACCUUUAUGGCCACUUAUUCUUUUGCUCUGGAUUCUGAAAAAACAUCAUGGAUCCAUCCCUAAAGUAGAAAUGUUCCUUUCCGUCCCGCAAGCAAGGCUAAAGAUUGGAGGAGAAUGAAUGUGAAUCUAAAUUCAGGAUUGCAGUCAUGCUAUUAAAAGUUUUCAGCUUCAGAACAAAAUGAUUUGGGAAAUAUGAUCAGUUUUCUUACUCUGUCAACAAUUUUUAAAAGUUGUAGGUGGUUCAAGUGACGACUCAAAUAACAACAAUCUUUGCAUGUCAAUAAUUUCUCAGUUUAUGGAGUGAAAGGUAGUUUUGAGUUUGGAAAAGAAGCAGUUGUUAAUAUCAGCCUGUAAUGGGAUUAAAUGUUGACUAUGAGGAAGAGGCAAAAAGUAAAUAAAUGCCCGAAAGUUACCCUUGCACUGAGGAUGGGUUUAAAGUGCUUUAUAUCCUAGGGCCCACCUUACUGUAGAGGUAUAAUGGGGAAAUAUUUCCAUUAGAAACUCAUUAACAAGCAUUUAAUCCAUCUUUAGAGCAUUAGAGGAAAUAGAAUCAAACAUUUACUGUACAAAUCUGCUGCAAGCAGACUUUAACCCAUUUACAGACUUAUCCUUCUGAUGUAUUGUACUAUGGCUACUCAUGAGUCAGAAUAGCAAAGAUUUUAUUUGUACUCCUUUUUUCCAAAGUUGUGGAAUCUAUUCUAAGUAUCUUGAUCAAUCAGCUAAUAUUAUUGUUUUGAAUGUAUGUGUGUAUAUUGCCUAUGUAUUUGAUCUUUUCCACCCCCUACUUGAAAAGGUGGGGGGGGUUUAUACAACAGCAACAAAAGUUUUACUGAAUGUAAUCUUGACAUCUAAGUGAUUCAGAUUAUUUGAAGACGAUUUCUACUGGAUCAUAUCGGACUUUUCCUAGUCCCUGAGACCCUAACUUGUGAGGUUUUUUAGCAACAAUCACAAGUCAGGCUCUUGGGACCUAGGCGGAGGGGAACCAGCAGCUUUGGACUUUAUUGAUUGUUUACUGCAAUAUUAACAGAACCAAAGGAGAUUUUCUUAUCUGGGGGAAAAUAUUUAUUUCAGAUGUUAAGCACUAGUGUUAUGCUACAAAAAAUUGCUUCUGUGUAUUGUACAAUAUAAAGAUUCUACAUAAUUUGUAUGUUUGGAAAGCUAUAUUGUAGUGGAUAACAUAUAACAUUUAGAAUUUUAAUUUAGAAAUUUAAAAUGAAUGACAGAUCUCUACAUAAAUCAAGUACUGAAGAAUAAAUGUUUUCAACCAUAAUUUGCUAUUAUAGAUCCUUCUGGUGGAUAAUAAAAUGAAACACAUUUUCAAAUAUAUUGCUAUAAUAUUUAAUGAACUUUUUGAAACUUACAAAUUAUACAUUGAUCUGUGAGGCCUAGCAAAUGCAUUCAUACUGUUGUCCAUGGGGUAAUAAUCUGAGCGUGCAAGAAAACUGUUGCUUCUCUUUUCCUGUAAGGCAGUGCAGAGAUUCCUUUAUAGUUGUAACUGUAUCUCUUAGUCUAUAUAAUAAUACAAUAAAGGUUCUAAUUUGGUAUAUUAACCCCUUACUCUGAAAGAAAAGAGAAAGCUGGUGUCAAAUUCAUAAUCCUGUGUUGAAGUCACUUUGCACACAGAACCACAUACUUUUCAUUUACUUACUGUAUCUCAGCAGAGAAGACCGAACACCAGGAAUUAGGCUCAAACUUUAGUCUCUUCUCUCACUUCUUACUUUUCACUAAUAAAAACAGAUUAACUUCAGUGGCUGAAUACUUCAGUGGCUUCAGCAUAAGAUUUACCAGGACACAGCUGCUUUGUAAUGUCUAUCACUCCUAAAGUGCUGAACCAGAACACAGAAAAAUUGACUGUAUUUCUUAAUGUUUUAUAAGAAAUUUGGUCCUGAUUAAUUUUUGUUCAGUUUCCUGUAUUUAACCCAAGAUGGUGCAGCACCCUGUUAAUAGUAUACUACUGUCACACUUCACUGAUUGAAACAAAGGCUUUACUUAGGGCAAGCAUCUAAACAAUUUGGUCAUUUUGAAAUUGAUAUUUGGCUCCAGUUUAUUUUUUUCCACAUAUGUAGGAGGAAUUGUGUUUUAUUGUAAUGCUAUUGUUAAAAUAAAUUAUUAUUA